rnacentral:lncRNA from 1 species
AGGUCCCAGGAGGAAUCACGCGAAUUCACUGCCGAAUUGGUAUGUGUACUUAUGCUUUUGCAAAAAGCCCUUUUCUUGCCAUUUUUCUGUUUUAGAAUUGGGACCAAAGUAAUUAUGAGUGAUUUUGACAAACAUUGAGAUAGAAAAAAUGGCUAUCAAGCAAACAGCCCGUGAGUAUUUAAACAUAUAAUUUUCAGUCAAAUGAAAUAGUUGGUACCACAAGCUUUUAAUUAGGGAGGAAUGUUUGAUUAUAUAUUUAAAUUAAGCAAAGAAUCUUCCAUAAGAAAACGAUCCAAGUUGAAAUAAACCAAAUAUAUGGUGCAACAUCAAUAUCUUAGUCACUUUAACUAUUAACAAUGUUUUCUGCCUUUUCUUAUUUAAAUUUUAUUGCCCCUAUGUGUUUCUUGAAUUUUGUAAUAGGGAUAGAUAAUGAUGUGAUUGUCCUAUAUAUAUUUUGGUAAAUCAUUUUUCUUAAAUCCUUCUGUUAUCAUGCUUGCUCUAGAUUCUGCAGGGUUUUUUUUUAAGUUUAUUUGGUUGUUGGAAAAAAACCGUGAAAUGAAGGGCUCCAGAGUUUGAUCAUUUGUGCCUCAAAUUUGGUAAGGUUUCUUUCCCCUAUAUAAUUUUGAUUGGUACUUAUAGAUUUUCAUCAUAAAUUAUUGUAUUCUCUUGCAAAGUUCAUUUUUGACACUUAUGUAAACUUUAACCCACUUCACCAGAUAACUUAAAUCUGUUUUGUUUGAUCAUUAUGUUAUAAUAUUCUAUGUGGUUGCAAGUUUGAAAAAUGGAGGGAGACAGAUCAGUUAUGAACAAAUUAGCAUGGAUCAUCCUAAUGCUAUAUAAGUUAGGUUGCUGAUUUGUUUCCUCAUUUCUUCAUUGGUGAUUUGUAUUUUCAGUGACUUUUCAUUCUUGGGUAAUAAGUUUUGGUCAAGAGUUAAUGUGUUCAGUUCUUUUUUUAAUUUCUGUUCUGUGUGGUUCUGUGUCAUGUGAUUCGAGGUUCCAAAAGAGAAACAUUACUUAUUUUAUUUGGUCAGAGGAGUGGGGAGGAAGUUCUGUUCAAUUUUGGUUUUUCCGAUGGCUUAGGAAGAAAUUAUGUCACUAUUGAUAUUGUAGGUGUCCAGCUUGCAAAAAUUACAAAGUAUGCUACAAUAGAUGUAUCCCUUGGUUUGUCAUUUUGUUACUUGAUUACUAAGGUUAUAUCUGGCUGCCCUAUGCUUCGUUCUACAAUCAAUUUUUGCCAUGAUUUUAGAAACAGUUUAGGGUGCAUGUGGGGAUUUGAUUUGAUUUCUGAUAAGAGGCAUGAAAGUAAGCAAGUUGUUGGUAAGAAAUCCAAACAAUUGUAGUUGGAGGAAACAAAUUCUUUAUUCCUCAUCUUUUGUAAAUUUUUCAGUUUGUGAUUCUCAAGAGUGUGCAUAUAAUUUUUGAACAAAAUGCAAGAGUUCAAGAUUUUUAGUGUUGUAAAACCAAUUUGCUUUCAGAGCGAUCGAUUGGGCAUCCAUUAAUGCAAUGUUUUUAUAAUCUAUUAAACAUUCCCGCAGCAACGCGCGGGCAACCGUUCUAGUUAAAUCUAAAAUUAAAAACUAAAAGCAAAAACGCUAUUGGGCAAUCUCAAAAAUACGCACGUUGGAGAACUGUAUCAGAGACCUGUGCGGCCCUAUGGUUGAAGUUGAACUACGGAGAGUAAAAAUGGUGUAUUCAAUUGAGAAUUUGAGAGAUUUUAAUGGAUUUAUAAAUUGAUCAAUUUUGUGAAGUUUAAUUGAUUUGUAGAGAUUCUAUAUAAAAUUUUGAUUCAAUUCCCUCGAAAUCUCAUGGGAAGAUGUGAGAUUUGUGGAUGCUUAAAAUACACUACGAAUUCCCUCUAAUUCCUCAAAUUCUUUAAAAUCAAUUUCUAAUUAAAUACGUCUGGAAUGUUUUAAAUUUCUUUAAAAUCCUAAUUAAAUACACUCGGAUUUCUAAGGAUUUUAAUAAACUAUCUUAAAAUUCUAAUUGAAUAGACCUUAAAUUUCAGAGAAUCACUU